UCCGGUUUGGCACCGGCAGUCCUCCCAGAGUCCUCGGCAUGACCCGGUAGCAACUGGGAGCGGGGGUUGCGCUCGUUGCGGGACUUAACCCAACAUCUCACGGCACGAGCUGACGACAGCCAUGCAGCACCUGUGCUAGCCCUAUAACGACACGGGCUUUCACCCGCUUUAACUAGCAUGUCAAACCCAGGUAAGGUCUUCGCGUUGCAUCAAAUUGAGCCACAUGCUCCGCUGCUUGUGCGGGCCCCCGUCAAUUCCUUUGAGUUUCAGUCUUGCGACCGUACUCCCCAGGCGGAGUGCUUAAUGCGUUAGCUGCAGCACUAAAGGGCGGAAACCCUCUAACACUUAGCACUCAUCGUUUACGGCGUGGACUAC
rnacentral:misc_RNA from 1 species